GACGAACGCUGGCGGCGUGCCUAAUACAUGCAAGUAGAACGCUGAAGGAGGAGCUUGCUUCUCUGGAUGAGUUGCGAACGGGUGAGUAACGCGUAGGUAACCUGCCUGGUAGCGGGGGAUAACUAUUGGAAACGAUAGCUAAUACCGCAUAAUAGCAGUUAUUGCAUGAUAACUGUUUAAAAGGUGCAAUUGCAUCACUACCAGAUGGACCUGCGUUGUAUUAGCUAGUUGGUGAGGUAACGGCUCACCAAGGCGACGAUACAUAGCCGACCUGAGAGGGUGAUCGGCCACACUGGGACUGAGACACGGCCCAGACUCCUACGGGAGGCAGCAGUAGGGAAUCUUCGGCAAUGGACGGAAGUCUGACCGAGCAACGCCGCGUGAGUGAAGAAGGUUUUCGGAUCGUAAAGCUCUGUUGUAAGAGAA
rnacentral:rRNA from 1 species